rnacentral:rRNA from 1 species
GUCGACCCCUAAGGCGAGGCCGAAAGGCGUAGUCGAUGGGAAACAGGUUAAUAUUCCUGCACUUGGUGUUACUGCGAAGGGGGGACGGAGAAGGCUAUGUUGGCCGGGCGACGGUUGUCCCGGUUUAAGCGUGUAGGCUGGUUUUCCAGGCAAAUCCGGAAAAUCAAGGCUGAGGCGUGAUGACGAGGCACUACGGUGCUGAAGCAACAAAUGCCCUGCUUCCAGGAAAAGCCUCUAAGCAUCAGGUAACAUCAAAUCGUACCCCAAACCGACACAGGUGGUCAGGUAGAGAAUACCAAGGCGCUUGAGAGAACUCGGGUGAAGGAACUAGGCAAAAUGGUGCCGUAACUUCGGGAGAAGGCACGCUGAUAUGUAGGUGAGGUCCCUCGCGGAUGGAGCUGAAAUCAGUCGAAGAUACCAGCUGGCUGCAACUGUUUAUUAAAAACACAGCACUGUGCAAACACGAAAGUGGACGUAUACGGUGUGACGCCUGCCCGGUGCCGGAAGGUUAAUUGAUGGGGUUAGCGCAAGCGAAGCUCUUGAUCGAAGCCCCGGUAAACGGCGGCCGUAACAAUAACGGUCCUAAGGUAGCGAAAUUCCUUGUCGGGUAAGUUCCGACCUGCACGAAUGGCGUAAUGAUGGCCAGGCUGUCUCCACCCGAGACUCAGUGAAAUUGAACUCGCUGUGAAGAUGCAGUGUACCCGCGGCAAGACGGAAAGACCCCGUGAACCUUUACUAUAGCUUGACACUGAACAUUGAGCCUUGAUGUGUAGGAUAGGUGGGAGGCUUUGAAGUGUGGACGCCAGUCUGCAUGGAGCCGACCUUGAAAUACCACCCUUUAAUGUUUGAUGUUCUAACGUUGACCCGUAAUCCGGGUUGCGGACAGUGUCUGGUGGGUAGUUUGACUGGGGCGGUCUCCUCCUAAAGAGUAACGGAGGAGCACGAAGGUUGGCUAAUCCUGGUCGGACAUCAGGAGGUUAGUGCAAUGGCAUAAGCCAGCUUGACUGCGAGCGUGACGGCGCGAGCAGGUGCGAAAGCAGGUCAUAGUGAUCCGGUGGUUCUGAAUGGAAGGGCCAUCGCUCAACGGAUAAAAGGUACUCCGGGGAUAACAGGCUGAUACCGCCCAAGAGUUCAUAUCGACGGCGGUGUUUGGCACCUCGAUGUCGGCUCAUCACAUCCUGGGGCUGAAGUAGGUCCCAAGGGUAUGGCUGUUCGCCAUUUAAAGUGGUACGCGAGCUGGGUUUAGAACGUCGUGAGACAGUUCGGUCCCUAUCUGCCGUGGGCGCUGGAGAACUGAGGGGGGCUGCUCCUAGUACGAGAGGACCGGAGUGGACGCAUCACUGGUGUUCGGGUUGUCAUGCCAAUGGCACUGCCCGGUAGCUAAAUGCGGAAGAGAUAAGUGCUGAAAGCAUCUAAGCACGAAACUUGCCCCGAGAUGAGUUCUCCCUGACUCCUUGAGAGUCCUGAAGGAACGUUGAAGACGACGACGUUGAUAGGCCGGGUGUGUAAGCGCAGCGAUGCGUUGAGCUAACCGGUACUAAUGAACCGUGAGGCUUAACCUC